GACCACAAUAUUUUAGUCUGUGUGUGAAUCCUCGCAAUCACAGUAACUGUUGUUUUUCUCAUUGUACGAGUUUCAAUAGAAACAAAACCAGGCUGUUUCAUUUGCAAAAUAAAGCACACAUUCUUAGGGGUAUUAUGCUUUGUUACUGGGUAAUUGGUGUAUGCCUUCACUUAUAAUGUGAUGUGGUCAUAUUUCAGUUACAUGCAAGCAACUUUUGUAUUCUGUUCUUUCUUAAUUUUGGAUAGUCCAUCAUCCAUGCCCUGGCUGAUCUACAGGGUGUAUCAGGACAGGAGGCAGAAGACUUAUUUCUUGGUGGCCCAGAAUACAGUAUCAGUGAAGUGGAAGAAUUUAACCGAAAGAUAGGGCAGCAAUUAAAGAAGGAAGGAAUGCUGUGAUAUCUGUUGGAAUAGAAGAUGAUGCUACUGCCCAGUGCUUCCAGAAUCCUUCAUUUGAGUCUUGGGUCUGAAUCUACUGCGUCAUUGCCAAGUAUUCUGGGGUAAUGUAUCUUGUUUUGUUUACAUUUUGUUUUUCUCCAUAUUCCAAGCUCAUUUACUUGACCUUAGCUUUAAUAAACUGGAUGACUGUCUCCUUCACAAUUGAUUUUAAAGUACUAUACUAUUCAUUACAUAAAAAGCUCUGAACAAUUUAGUCCCUUCCUGUAUUUGGUACUGUCUCUCCCCCAACACUCCUCAGUGUAAUCUUUAAUCCACAACCACUAAUUUGCUUAUGAAAGAACUGGUGAAGCAGCUUGCACAUGUAUACCAAAAAUAUAGAAUGCCAGCUAUAAAUGAAAAACCUUUCAAAA